UGGGGAAUAUUGCACAAUGGGGGAAACCCUGAUGCAGCGACGCCGCGUGAGUGAAGAAGUAUUUCGGUAUGUAAAGCUCUAUCAGCAAGGAAGAUAAUGACGGUACUUGACUAAGAAGCCCCGGCUAACUACGUGCCAGCAGCCGCGGUAAUACGUAGGGGGCAAGCGUUAUCCGGAUUUACUGGGUGUAAAGGGAGCGUAGGUGGCAUGUUAAGUCAGAUGUGAAAGCCCAGGGCUCAACCCUGGGAUUGCAUUUGAAACUAGCAAGCUAGAGUGCAGGAGAGGUAAGUGGAAUUCCUAGUGUAGCGGUGAAAUGCGUAGAUAUUAGGAGGAACACCAGUGGCGAAGGCGGCUUACUGGACUGUAACUGACACUGAGGCUCGAAAGCGUGGGGAGCAAACA
rnacentral:rRNA from 1 species